GCGUAUGUAUGUACGAGGUGUGAUGAGCGCGCGUAAGAGGUGACGAGGAGGUUGAAAGGAAAAAGGACCUGGAUAGCUGAACUGGUGGCGUUUGUGAGAGGUCACAGUAGCAAUAGCAGCAAUAGCAACAUAUUUCCUGUCAUCUGUAAACUGACUACCCCUAAAGGCGGUGAAUGUGUGGCAGACACAUGAGUUGGUGCCUUGCAACAUCAUGUCAGUGGCAGGGACAUUGAAGUCAACGGUCGCGUAGAAGAUCGGAUAAGAGCAAAUAAGGAAGUGAAGAAGUAAAGUGUAGUGAAGUGGACUAGUAACGUGACUGUAAAGUGUAAGAAAAAAAAGGAAACUGUAAAUGCAAUGUUAACUGUAUUUUUUUUAUUUUUAUGUAUGGUUUAACUAGAUAUGCUGAUCGGAAAAAUAAAAUGUUUAAAGGUU